rnacentral:rRNA from 1 species
CGAACGCUGGCGGCAGGCCUAACACAUGCAAGUCGAGCGGAUGACGGGAGCUUGCUCCUUGAUUCAGCGGCGGACGGGUGAGUAAUGCCUAGGAAUCUGCCUGGUAGUGGGGGACAACGUUUCGAAAGGAACGCUAAUACCGCAUACGUCCUACGGGAGAAAGCAGGGGACCUUCGGGCCUUGCGCUAUCAGAUGAGCCUAGGUCGGAUUAGCUUGUUGGUGAGGUAAUGGCUCACCAAGGCGACGAUCCGUAACUGGUCUGAGAGGAUGAUCAGUCACACUGGAACUGAGACACGGUCC